rnacentral:lncRNA from 1 species
GUGGUGUUGCUAUGCUGUCCUGGUGUCGUUGUUGUAGCAGAUGCAUUAGCUGUAUAAUUGUUGUCUAGAAGAUAUUCUAAUAUGUUUUGUGCUUUCAGUUCUUCAACGGGACCUGAUAUUUAACAAUACAUAUAGAUAUGCGCACGUCGGGAACCACCUAGCAUGCUCAAUCCAGGGACUGUCUCCAUACUCCCAGUUUUUCAUUCCACCAUCCGCAGAAGAAACAUCUCACCAAAUCUUGCAUUCC